GAAGAAAAUGACUGUACCCGAAUAAGAAGGUCCGGCUAACUUCGUGCCAGCAGCCGCGGUAAUACGAAGGGACCUAGCGUAGUUCGGAAUUACUGGGCUUAAAGAGUUCGUAGGUUGUUAAAAAAGUUGGUGGUGAAAUCCCAGAGCUUAACUCUGGAACUGCCAUCAAAACUUUUUAGCUAGAGUAUGAUAGAGGAAAGUAGAAUUUCUAGUGUAGAGGUGAAAUUCGUAGAUAUUAGAAAGAAUACCAAUUGCGAAGGCAGCUUUCUGGAUCAUUACUGACACUGAGGAACGAAAGCAUGGGUAGCGAAGAGGAUUAGAUACCCUCGUAGUCCAUGCCGUAAACGAUGUGUGUUAGACGUUGGAAAUUUAUUUUCAGUGUCGCAGCGAAAGCAUUAAACACACCGCCUGGGGAGUACGACCGCAAGGUUAAAACUCAAAUGAAUUGACGGGGACCCGCACAAGUAGUGGAGCAUGUGGUUUAAUUCGAAGAUACGCGCAGAACCUUACCAACACUUGACAUGUUCGUCGCGACUUUAAGAGAUUAAAGUUUUCGGUUCGGCCGGACGAAACACAGGUGCUGCAUGGCUGUCGUCAGCUCGUGUCGUGAGAUGUUGGGUUAAGUCCCGCAACGAGCGCAACCCUCACUUUUAGUUGCCAUCAUUUAGUUGGGCACUCUGAAAGAACUGCCAGUGAUAAGCUGGAGGAAGGUGGGGAUGACGUCAAGUCCUCAUGGCCCUUACGUGUUGGGCUACACACGUGCUACAAUGGCAUUUACAAUAGGAAGCAAGAUGGCGACGUCAAGCAAAUCCUAAAAAGAUGCCUCAGUUCGGAUUGUACUCUGCCACUCGAGUACAUGAAGCUGGAAUUACUAGUAAUCGCGGAUCAGCGCGCCGCGGUGAAUACGUUCCCGGGGUCUGUACACACCGCCCGUCACA
rnacentral:rRNA from 1 species